rnacentral:rRNA from 1 species
UACGGGGGGAGCAAGCGUUGUUCGGAUUUACUUGGCGUAAAGGGCGCGUAGGCGGCCAGCACAGGUCAGUUGUGAAAUCUCCGAGCUUAACUCGGAAAGGUCAACUGAUACUGUGCGGCUAGAGUGCGGAAGGGGCAACUGGAAUUCUUGGUGUAGCGGUGAGAUGCGUAGAUAUCAAGAGGAACACCUGCGGCGAAGGCGGGUUGCUGGGCCGACACUGACGCUGAGGUGCGAAAGCGUGGGGAGUAAACAGG